rnacentral:rRNA from 1 species
AGUUCGAUCAUGGCUCAGAUUGAACGCUGGCGGACGUUUUACACAUGCAAGUCGAACGGCAGCACGGACUUCGGUCUGGUGGCGAGUGGCGAACGGGUGAGUAAUGUAUCGGAACGUGCCUAGUAGCGGGGGAUAACUACGCGAAAGCGUAGCCACUGCAUACUGCCCUUCGAAGGGGAAAGCGGGGACCUUCUCGGGCCUCGCACUAUUAGAGCGGCCGAUAUCGGAUUAGUUUGUUGGUGGGGCAACGGCUCACCAAGGCGACGAUCCGUAGCUGGUUUGAGAGGACGACCAGCUGGGACUGAGACACGGCCCAGACUCCUACGGGAGGCAGCAGUGGGGAAUUUUUGACAAUGGGGGAAACCCCGAUCCAGCCAUCUCGCGUAUGUGCGAUGAAGGCCUUCGGAGGUUGUAAAGCACUUUUGGGCAGGGAAAGAAACGGCACGGGAUAAUACCCCGUGCAACUGACGGUACCUGCAGAAUAAGCACCGGCUCAACUACAAACCAGCAGCCGCGGUAAUACGUAGGUGCAAGCGUUAAUCGGAAUUAUUGCCGUAAAGCGUGCGCAGGCGGUUCGGAAAGAAAGAUGCGAAAUCCCAGAGCUUAACUUUGGAACUGCAUUUUUAACUACCGGAGCUAGAGUGUGUCAGGAGGGGAGGUGGAAUUCCGCGUGUAGCAGGAAAUGUGUAGAUAUGCGGAGGAACACCGAUGGCGAAGGCAGCCUCCUGGGAUAACACUGACGCUCAUGCACGAAAGCGUGGGGAGCAAACAGGAUUAGAUACCCUCCUGGUAGUCCACGCCCUAAACGAUGUCAACUAGCUGUUGGGGCCUUUCGGGCCUUGGUAGCAGCUAACGCGUGAAGUUGACCGCCUGGGGAGUACGGUCGCAAGAUUAAACUCCAAAGGAAUUGACGGGGACCCGCACAAGCGGUGGAUGAUGUGGAUUAAUUCGAUGCAACGCGAAAAACCUUACCUACCCUGACAUGUCUGGAAUCCCGAAGAGAUUUGGGAGUGCUCGCAAGAGAACCGGAACACAGGUGCUGCGGUCAUGGCUGUCGUCAGCUCGCGUCGUGAGAUGCUGUUAAGUCCUGCAACGAGCGCAACCUCUUGUCAUUAGUUGCUACGAAAGGGCACUCUAAUGAGACUGCCGGUGACAAACCGGAGGAAGGUGGGGAUGACGUCAAGUCCUCAUGGCCCUUAUGGGUAGGGCUUCACACGUCAUACAAUGGUCGGGAUGCGGUCGCCAACCCGCGAGGGGAGCCAAUCCCAGAAACCCGAUCGUAGUCCGGAUCGCAGUCUGCAACUCGACUGCGUGAAGUCGGAAUCGCUAGUAAUCGCGGAUCAGCAUGUCGCGGUAACAUGUUCCGGUCUUGUACACACCGCCCGUCACACCAUGGGAGUGGGUUUUACCAGAAGUAGUUAGCCUAACCGUAAGGAGGGGCGAUUACUGCGGUAGGAUUCAUGACUGGGGUGAAGCUGUAAUAAGAAACCUGAAGACUACAUCGAUGUCCAAUGACAAUGACACAACCCAU